AUUAUGUGUUUCAGCGCCAUGUAUGGCCGGUGGCUUGAACUGUAGGGCGGUCUGCGCUAUAGCAAAUAGAAUACCCGCUGGUUGUCCUGGAGCUUUAUUCUGCUGCAUUAUCUAAAGAAGAAGAAUGGUGUUUGUUCUAUACUGAAGGUUCCGCUACUGUCAUUAUCUAUGUACAUAUAUGUUGUUGAUGAAAUAAAUAUGAUGUCACAUAUCGUU